UCAAUGACUUUGGUAAUUAAGACCACACCCCAGCUGAUUAAGGAGAACACAGAAAAGAGGAUCCUCACAGAAGAAGAGGGGUUGGACUAUUUGGCUAAUAUACACUGCCUCACUCACUUGGGACCCCAAAAGAUGACAGAACUAGUUAAUAGAUCCCCUUACCAUAUCCCUAGAUUACAAAAGGCAGUAGAAGACCUAGUGAAGAACUGUUGAGCAUGUGCCCUCACCAAUGCCAGGUCCAGCAAGUACCAUGGCAGAAAAUGCUUAUAGGGAGAUAGGCCUGGGACUUCCUGGGAGGUUGACUUUACUGAGGUCAAGCCAACCCGUUAUGGAAAUAAGUACCUUCUAGUUUUUGUAGAUACCUUUUCAGGAUGGACUGAAGCAUUCCCCACCAAGAGGGAAAUGGCUAAUGUGGUAGCCAAGAAGAUACUCAGAGAAAUCUUUCCCCAUUUUGGGGUACCAAAGGUACUUGGGUCAGACAACGGGCCUACCUUCGUUUCCCAGGUAAGCCAGGGAUUGGCCAUAUAGCUAGGGAUGAAUUGGAAGUUACAUUGUGCUUACAGACCCCAGUGUUCAGGACAGGUAGAAAGAAUGAAUAAGACCCUAAAAGAGACCUUGACUAAAUUGACCUUAGAAACCGGCGGGAAUGAUUGGACAGCCCUUCUCCCUUAUGCCCUAUUCCGGGUCAGGAACACUCCUGGAGCCUUGGGUCUAACACCUUUCGAACUAAUGUUUAGGGUGCCCCCACCCCUCUAUGUGACUGUAGAAAAUAGAACUUGUCCUGAUGUUUCCUCCAUUCCCUCAUCAAACCUUCUAGCUUGGCUGAAGACCCUCAAAACCAUGAGGAAAGAAAUGUGGGAGCAGUUGAAAGAGACCUACAUCGCUGGCGACUUACAGGUGCCACAUCAGUUUGAAGUGGGAGACACUGUCCUAGUGAUAAGGCAUCGAGCAGGGAACCUCAAGCCACGGGGGAAGGGACCCUACCUCUGGUGCUAUUGACUACACCCACCGCCAUUAAGAUAGAAGGAAUCCCUACUUGGGUUCAUGCUUCACACGUUAAGAAGGCUCCCCCUGAGACUGAUCGAGAUGAGUGGACCCUGGAAAAGAUUAAUAAUCCUCUUAAGUUGCGCUUAAGUCGCAGCUCAGCACCGAAACCCCAACCCUCAUACUCCAAUUGAGCAAAUUUGGGAAGUGCUUAAUGAAGAGGAAAACAUUAUUUGGUCGACCACCGCAGUUCACCCCCGUGGACUUGCUGACCUGACCUCACACCUGAUAUUUGUAAGUUGGCAGCAGCGGGACUACUUACCUGGGACCUCCCCGAACAUAUCGAUCUCCAUAACCCACCACCUGACAAACUAUGUGUCCCGAACGGGAUAGGGAGCAUGUUUGGGUUCUCAGGGCAGUUCUACCGGGCCAACCUCCGGUCCGCAGAAUUUUAUGUUUGCCCUGGCCAAGGCCAGAGCCGAAAGCUUCGGCAUACGUGUGUGUUGGUGGGGGCGGGGCGGGCAUCAGACUUUAUUGUGCUGCAUGGGUUGUGAAACCACAGGAGAUGCUUACUGGAAUCCUACCUCUACCUGGGACCUGAUUACGGUAAAAAGGGGCAGCAGCCUUGACAAGCCAAACCAAGGUGAGAGAGAUGGUUCUACAUACCCUGAGAACGGGUGUGCCCACAGCAACAGCCCCAGUGGACCCUGUAAAGAACCCUUUGGCCCAAUGACAUCUUCGGCAGCUGUGACGACGGUCCUGUGCAGACUCUCUUACACAUCUAUUUCCAUCACCAGACACUAGGCCAGACGGGCAGCUUCGCGGUCAUUGGCUCAAACCUGGACAUGUCAGAAGCUAACUGCAAACUGAUGGAACUUAACCUGGAGAUCAGAGAGUCUCUCCGCACAGUGCAGUCAUAUCCGCUCCUAGCACAGGCCAAACCGGUUGGAAAUAUGACGAGCACUGGAUUCUGAGCGACUUGCAACCCUCAAGAGGGAGUAAGCUGAAGAUGAUCAAGACUGCUAGCCAAGCACCUUUUAGGAACCCUUGUGCUUCAUUGAUAACUUUGCGGGCAGCACUUUUAACUGUAGUCUACUAACUUCAAACUGUCAAAAACAAAUAAAACUGAAGAAAAAUAUCUAACUGCUUAACUGCUGCAGAGACCUCCACAGUAACUGUAUGAAGAAGGAAUUAUUUUUAUUUUUAUUAACCUGUGUGAAUAAGAAUAAGGGCUAAAAGCGACAAGUACAAACUACAUUACUCUGGAAAAAGGAAGAAAUUCCAAGAAUGUUUGCAAUAAUGGCCCAAAGACGUUGCAGGGCAGGGUGAACUGAGGCUCAGAUGGGGCCAACGCCUGUUAGCUGAAGACCUGCACCUGCAGAGCCUCUUGGAUUUCCAGCCGCCAUCAACACAGAGUUGACACUUAAUGAUCAACUUGACCACCCAGUCAGACAGAUAACACAGACUUAUUUGCAAAAACCAUUGGGUCUGGGGUUUUUUGUUUUUGUUUUUUCCGACUGACGGGAUAAGGGUUUGGGGUGUUUGGGUUUUUGAUUGGUUUUUGUUUUUUGUUUUUUGGGUUUUUUUUUUUCUUUUUUGGUCUGUAUAAGGAAUUGUGUGUGUGUGUGCGUGCGUGUGUGACAGUCCUGUUUUCAAGGUGUGAAUGUUUGGUGACAGCUUUUCAGAGCAUGCCUAAAAGAGCACUGCAAGAUUAUUUUUGAAGAAAUUUUAUUUUAUUAGAUCUAACUCUUCAUAGUGUGUAAAUGUUAGAACACUUUAAUAAUAUUUUAAAACUGGGUUUUUCCCAGUGUCUCAAGAAAAAAAAAA